GGGGAUUUAGCUCAGUGGUAGAGCGCUUGCCUAGGAAGCGUAGGGCCCUGGGUUCGGUCCCCAGCUCCG
rnacentral:tRNA from 1 species